GAUGAACGCUGGCGGCGUGCCUAAUACAUGCAAGUCGAGCGAAAAGACGAGGAGCUUGCUUCUCUGACGUUAGCGGCGGACGGGAGAGUACCACGUGGAUAACCUACCUAUAAGACUGGGAUAACAUCGGGAAACCGGAGCUAAUACCGGAUAAUAUAUUGAACGGCAUGGUUCAAUAGUGAAAGACGGUUUUGCUGUCACUUAUAGAUGGAUCCGCGCCGCAUUAGCUAGUUGGUAAGGUAACGGCCUACCAAGGCAACGAUGCGUAGCCGACCUGAGAGGGUGAUCGGCCACACUGGAACUGAGACACGGUCCAGACUCCUACGGGAGGCAGCAGUAGGGAAUCUUCCGCAAUGGGCGAAAGCCUGACGGAGCAACGCCGCGUGAGUGAUGAAGGUCUUCGGAUCGUAAAACUCUGUUAUCAGGGAAGAACAAAUGUGUAAGUAACUAUGCACGUCUUGACGGUACCUAAACAGAAAGCCACGGCUAACUACGUG
rnacentral:rRNA from 1 species